GAUGAACGCUGGCGGCGUGCUUAACACAUGCAAGUCGAACGGGAAACCUUUUAUUGAAGCUUCGGCAGAUUUAGAUUGUUUCUAGUGGCGGACGGGUGAGUAACGCGUGGGUAACCUGCCUUAUACAGGGGGAUAACAGUCAGAAAUGACUGCUAAUACCGCAUAAGCGCACAGAGCUGCAUGGCUCGGUGUGAAAAACUCCGGUGGUAUAAGAUGGACCCGCGUUGGAUUAGCUAGUUGGUGAGGUAACGGCCCACCAAGGCGACGAUCCAUAGCCGGCCUGAGAGGGUGAACGGCCACAUUGGGACUGAGACACGGCCCAGACUCCUACGGGAGGCAGCAGUGGGGAAUAUUGCACAAUGGGGGAAACCCUGAUGCAGCGACGCCGCGUGAAGGAAGAAGUAUCUCGGUAUGUAAACUUCUAUCAGCAGGGAAGAAAGUGACGGU
rnacentral:rRNA from 1 species